AUGUCGACUGCAGGGAUAAUUAAAGUCUCCGCUGCGUGCCCCGUCUUCGAUGGAACUGAAUAUCCCUACUGGAAAAAUAAGAUGCGCAUGCAUCUUGAAGCCAUUGAUGUCGACCUAUGGUAUGUCGUCAAGAACGGCGUUCCCAAGGCUGGAGAAGGUGUCACCGCUGCUGAUGUCAAGAAGUUCGUUCAACUGGACUCUACUGCCAAGAAUAUCAUCUAUGGUCAUCUGACCAAAGGACAAUAUGGCCGCGUGAGUGCUUUAAAAACAUCUAAGCUAGUCUGGGACUGGCUCUCCAAAGUCAACGAAGGCGUCUCAACCCAGAGAGAUCAGAGAAUCAGUGUCCUUCGGAACCUCUUCAACUGCUUCAAGAGAAAUGACAAUGAGAAUGUCCAGCUCACAUUUGAUCAACUCACUGACAUCACGAAUGAGCUUCAAGCCCUUGGCGCUACUGAAAUCACCAAGCAUGAAGUCGUCAAGACACUACUGAGAUCACUUGACAGUUCGUUUGACACCCUAGCCCUGAUGAUUCAAGAACGACCUGAUUUCAAGACACUCAAUCCGUCUGACAUACUUGAGAGGCUCAACACACAUGAGUUUUAG
rnacentral:rRNA from 1 species